rnacentral:tRNA from 1 species
GGAAGAGUAUCGUCCCCGGUGGGGCGCGCGGCCUUCAAAGCCGUUGAGGUGCGUAAUCGUGCCUGGUGGGUUCGACUCCUACCUCUUCCGCCA